UCGAUGAUUUAAAAUUGAAGACUCGCCUCAUUGGCAAAAAGGCCUAUAAAACAGACCUGCUAAAAGCGAUUUGCAAAAUGCGGAAUAUGAGAGUGGCAGGGUAAAAACCUGACUCUGUAAAUUUAUCAAUAUCGAGG
ncrna:Polynucleobacter sp. QLW-P1DATA-2 2596588481, whole genome shotgun sequence